GUAGUAACCCCUCAGGACCCAAAGUAGGGUUUUAGCUUUAGCCCUCAGCAGCCAGGCAAGAGGCAGUUCUCUCUUGUUCAUAUUCCGAAACCAAGAAGAACAACCUUCUGAAUCUACCAUUUCUUCUCAUAAUCAAUGGCCUCAAUUGGUGCUCGGUCUGCUUUCCGCUCAUUCUCCGGUUCGGCACGCCGUGCUGCUGCUCACAUCGGUUCUCAACCCAAGGCCUCAUCAUCCUCUCCCUUUCGCAUGGCAACUAACAAACCCCUCUCUCAUCGUACUUUCAGGUGUGCGCCUGAGAUGAGCUUCUGUUUGGAGUCAAUGAUGCCAUUUCACUCUGUGUCGUCCUCAGCUUUGAUGACUUCAAUGCUCUCUAUCUCACGCCACAGCUGUGGUUGGCUCCCCGAAGGUAGCUAGCACAAUUUAUAGGCCCAUUGAUGUUCUUCUUGCCUUCUUGUUGCUCUGCAUGCAAUGACGAUCUAUGAUAAAUUACCAAGAGGAUCUAUACGGGCAGUGACUUCUAUUAAGUAGAAGCUUCCAUGCUCCAAAUGGUGGUUUGUGAAGAAGAGCUUCCGAUCAAUGGCAAUGGAUUAUUGUUAUUUGAAGACUGAUUUAAUUUUAAUUUUUUAGUAUUUAUUCUCUAUUUCGUACUCAUUGAUUGUUAACAAUUGUAUGUGAUAAUGCUAAUUUUUUCAUUGAAUUUGCUUUGAGCAGUUGACAACUUCGUCUUGUUACUGGAAAGUAGGGUUUGUAUUUUGUAGCUGCUUCGAUAUUAUUGACUUGAAAUAUGUGCUAAGAUGAGUGGUUGAAAUACAAGUGUCUUCAAUCAUCAUGGUUAAAAUAUCAAAGAGAAGAUUUUCAAUCCAAAAGGCACACUUUUUUCUACUGCUCCCUCCUUGAUCAUUAUAGCCUAUAUAUACUGCUAGCCAGCUUUGCUUUUCAGGCGGUGAUAUUCAAUCAGCAUGUCUAGCAUGAAGGUUUGCAACAAUGUUGAAUUUGCCAUUUCCAUUGCUUGUUUGUACCUCAAAUUCAGAUUCUUCAUCAGAGAUAUCAUAGUUGUGCCUAGAUUUUCCUAUGACUUUCAAUUGGAUUAUUGGUAUAACCCAAAUCAGAAUGUAGAUGUGAACGUCUAGUUAGUCAUUUGCCAAGUUUAAAGCAUGGUAACAAAUAUUGUUUGUUUGGUUUUCGAUCAACCAUGUUUUAAUUCUGUAAUGGAGUAUGAAUAUCAUGUUGAAAUUGGCCUUUCACGAACAUUGAAGAAGCUAAAUAAAUGGCUCCAAAAUUUUAUUGAAA